CCUACGGGAGGCAGCAGUGGGGGAUAUUGCACAAUGGGGGAAACCCUGAUGCAGCGACGCCGCGUGUGGGAAGACGGUCCUCUGGCUUGUAAACCACUUUCCCCAGGGACGAAGAUGACGGUACCUUGGGAGGACGCUCCGGCUAACUACGUGCCAGCAGCCGCGGUAAUACGUAGGGAGUGAGCGUUGUCCGGAAUUACUGGGUGUAAAGGGAGCGUAGGCGGGACUGCAAGUUGGGUGUCAAAUCUACCGGCUCAACCGGUAGCCGCACUCAAAACUGCAGUUCUUGAGUGAAGUAGAGGCAGGCGGAACUCCGAGUGUAGCGGUGAAAUGCGUAGAUAUUAGGAGGAACACCAGUGGCGAAGGCGGCCUGCUGGGCUGUGACUGACGCUGAGGCUCGAAAGUGUGGGGAGCAAACAGGAUUAGAUACCCUUGUAGUC
rnacentral:rRNA from 1 species